AGCUGAAUCAUAGCAAGAGUUCCUAGUAGUAGCAGUGCUGAGGCAGUGUGGAGAGAGCAACGACACAGAGGCGCCUGAGUGGUAGCUGCCAUUAUAGGCAGCAGUGAACUCCAGGUAGGAAACCUGCUAUACUUUUAAGCCGCAGAGCCAAUGCCAGAUACCCACGGCCUCCAACAAAAUGCUGCAGUGUGCAUCA
rnacentral:lncRNA from 1 species